UACGUAGGGUGCAAGCGUUAAUCGGAAUUACUGGGCGUAAAGCGUGCGCAGGCGGUUGUGCAAGACAGAUGUGAAAUCCCCGGGCUUAACCUGGGAACUGCAUUUGUGACUGCACAGCUGGAGUGCGGCAGAGGGGGAUGGAAUUCCGCGUGUAGCAGUGAAAUGCGUAGAUAUGCGGAGGAACACCGAUGGCGAAGGCAAUCCCCUGGGCCUGUACUGACGCUCAUGCACGAAAGCGUGGGGAGCAAACAGG
rnacentral:rRNA from 1 species